AAUAUGGUUCAUAGUUCGUCCUUAGUGACGGACACACCUUGUGGGAGUCUUAAAUGAAUAAUCGUGCGGGACGCUGUGCUUUUUAGAUAUUUCAACCUAGCGAUUAGGAACACGGUGGCUGAAUGAGAAAGGUAGCGAUCUGACCAUACUAGCUGGCGCUGUGACGAGUCCUUGCUGAUGGGUGUGAGCCGCCUGGAUGUGUUUUACAGAAGGCUUCUUCUCACCAAGCUCUUCAUCCAAGGUUGGGGAAAGCCAGAGGAUCUGAAGAGAAUAUUUGAGUUCCGGAAGAUUAUUGGCGACAGAGAGAAGUGUAAGGAUUUGGUUCCUAAGGAUUACCCGGUUUUCAUUGACAAGAUAGAGGAGCAGAAUGACUGCAGGAUUCUAAAUGGUCAUUUUACAUCCCCGCUGGAACAUUUCCUGCCUGGCAUCUUACCGGCUGAGUCAGUGAAGGCCAGGUUUCAGUUCAUUCUACCAAGGAAGUGGAAGAAGUUUAAGCCAGUAUGCAUUCACCUCGCCGGAACUGGGGAUCAUUUCUUCUGGAGAAGGCGGACCCUGAUGGCCAAACCGAUGAUGAAGGAGACGGGAAUGGCAUCGCUGCUCCUGGAAAAUCCAUAUUAUGGAUACAGAAAACCUAAAGAGCAAAUUCGCUCCAGUCUGCGUAACGUGUCCGACCUGUUCGUCAUGGGCGGGGCCCUCAUCCUGGAGUCGGCCGCCCUGCUGCACUGGCUGGAGAGGGAGGGCUACUGGCCCCUGGGCAUGACGGGCAUCUCCAUGGGGGGGCACAUGGCGUCUUUAGCAGUGACAAACUGGCCAAAGCCUAUACCACUGGUGCCCUGUCUGUCCUGGUCCACGGCGUCUGGUGUUUUUACUACGGGAGUCCUGAGUAAGGCAGUGAACUGGAGGGAGCUGGAGAAGCAGUAUGCCACAGACACAGUGUAUGAAGAGGAAAUCACCAGGAUGCUGGAGUACUGUGGGAUGGAUUCAUUUAGGAUGGGGCAGGACUUUGUGAAGAACUCACCCAGCAGCGUCGAUACCCUCUCCGGCCUGGACCUGCCAGCUGACUUCCUGAGCAUGCCCACACCUCAGGCCUCUGCCCUCAGUGCCGAGGGCAGGGGGCGCUCCGGCGGACAGGCCUCAUGGCCAGAGCGGGGAUGCGGCGGCGGGCUAGAUCCCAUGCUGUCUGCCGUGAGCAGCAGCCGGCCUCACCUGGACAUGCUGACCGCCAGGAACGUGGCCGAGCAGAGGCAGCCACACCGCUCCCUACAGCACGAGUCCCUGGGCUUCAUGAAGGGCGUCAUGGACGAGUGUACACACAUUGCCAACUUCUCAGUGCCAGUGGAUCCCAGCCUGGUCAUCGUGGUCCAGGCCAAGGAGGACGCCUACAUCCCCCGCUCGGGCGUGCGCAGCCUCCAGGAGAUCUGGCCAGGCUGUGAGGUACGCUAUCUGAAUGGUGGACAUAUCAGCGCCUACCUCUUCAAGCAAGGGCUCUUCAGGCAGGCUAUUUAUCAUGCCUAUGACAGGUUUAUUCAGAAGUAUUCCAAGUAUUCCAUCUUCUAGCCAUGGACCGGAACAUUCUAAACGAUCACAUGUCUUUGAAGGUCUGGAAGCCGCGAUCUCCAGGAGGUCUAACCACCAUCAACGGAAGAGGGAGCGUUGUGAAAGGCUGAAUAUGUGGGUUUUUACUUGUGCCAUUAAGUAACACUCUGGUGCGAUGCUGUGUAGCCUGGGCUGUGAUUCGCUGAGACCAAACAGCAUCUCAAGCCUCCAUCAUAACUUGAAUGAGCAAAAGGGGGAGUGGCCCAGUAGCUCGGUGGGAAGCGCUGUUGCCUCACACCUCUUGAGAGUGCAAGUCUCACCCCUGUGGUGUGUGUGUGUGGGGGGGGGGGUUUGCAUCAUGUUCUCCCCAUGUUGCUGGGGGUGUCCUCCUUUAGUAAAAAGACAUGCAGGUUAAUUGGCAUAUUUGGUACCCAGUGUGUGUGUGUGCGUGCGUGCGUGCGUAUAUAUGUGUACCCUCUGGUGCACGUGCAACCCAUCAAGGGUGGACCCUAGCCUUUUGCGCCCACCCCUUCAUCACCCUGACAAGUAUUCGGGUAAAAGACGACAAGGAAUUUCAACAUGGCGUCCUUCUUCAUGACUAUAACCCUGGACCUUCAUGUAUUGUGCAUUUUUGGGGUGUCACCAGACACCGUGUGACACAAGGACCUGUAGGGACAUGUGUACUUUAAGAGAAUGGGCAUUUGUGCUUAUGAAAUCUUUAAAUAAAUGAUUAGAUUUUA